AAAGGAAAUACUGAACUGCCAUCAACCCAAACAUAGACCUUCGCACUUGGCUCAAAUCCCAUAUACGUCCUUUGUUAGACCUUGAGAAUCGUUCUGUCAAUUCCACUGUUUCCUAAUUUUGGAUCUCGGCAGUUUUGUCUCUUUUCUCUGUUUCAUUCUCUCUCUCUCUCUCUCUCUCUCUCUCCCCUUUCCUUCUUCUCUCUUCAUUAUUUUCUCUGCAUCAGCAAUUUUCCAAGUUAGAAGAAGAAUAUGACGGAUCAGGGCCGGUCUUUGCCAAAAUUUGGCGAGUGGGACGUGAACAAUCCUGCUGCAGCUGAAGGAUACACCGUCAUAUUCAGCAAGGCCAGGGACGAGAAGAAAUGCCCUGAUGGAGCUGUCGGAAACGGGCCAAUGUCGCAGAGAAAUGACAAUGCCUCGAAGCGGGAAGGAGCAUAUCCUCCCACGAAGAAACGGUGGUGCUGCUUCUGAGUCCUUGCUUUAGCCAGAGAAUUUAAGAUGUUCUGUGUGUGACAACAACACUCGUGACAUUCAUAUCCGCCCUUAUGAUGGUGGCACCAAGACAGUCACUUGAUUCAAGUGCCAUCCCCAUCUGAUUAGAAUUCUAUGUUAAUGUCACUAGUUCUUGGAGAUUCAUCGUAAUGUUAUACAUAUAAACAUAGAUAUUGGAGAGAACGAUGUAGCAAUAGUAGAAGAGCAGCGCCCCCCGCGAAUGUUCUUUUUUGUACAGUCUCCAAAUCUUAGCCAGUCCUUCAAAGGAUUUUCAAAUGUUCACGUGUUUCAGCAAGGUUGUAUGCUGAUUAAUUGUGCAAAUGAAUUUGCAUUCAAGGCAAUCAGAAGCAUCAUUCAGC